rnacentral:rRNA from 1 species
ACGGGAGGCAGCAGUGGGGAAUAUUGCACAAUGGGGGAAACCCUGAUGCAGCGACGCCGCGUGAGUGAAGAAGUAUCUCGGUAUGUAAAGCUCUAUCAGCAGGGAAGAAAAUGACGGUACCUGACUAAGAAGCCCCGGCUAACUACGUGCCAGCAGCCGCGGUAAUACGUAGGGGGCAAGCGUUAUCCGGAUUUACUGGGUGUAAAGGGAGCGUAGACGGCGAUGCAAGUCUGAAGUGAAAGGCGGGGGCUCAACCCUUGGACUGCUUUGGAAACUGUAUUGCUAGAGUGCAGGAGAGGUAAGUGGAAUUCCUAGUGUAGCGGUGAAAUGCGUAGAUAUUAGGAGGAGCACCAGUGGCGAAGGCGGCUUACUGGACUGUAACUGACGUUGAGGCUCGAAAGCGUGGGGAGCAGACAGGAUUAGAUACCCUGGUA